rnacentral:misc_RNA from 1 species
AGCUAGCUGCGCAGCUGCAUAGGGAUUUGUAGUCGUAUAAAUAGCAAACGAUAAUGGCCAGAACAGAAGAUCAGAGGUUCACCGUCAGUGAGAGUAUGACCAUUGGAUUUAUUGGAGCUGGCCGAAUGGCGCAAGCCAUGAGUCGAGGCUUUAUCUCAAAAGGAGUUGUCAAGCCACACAAGAUAAUGGCCAGUGAUACCGUCCCACAGAUGUUAGACUGUAUCAAAGAACAAGGCAUCAGAAUCUCCAGAAGUAACCUUGAGAUUGUUGAAAACAGUGACCUAAUUAUCAUCGCCGUCAAACCUCACGUGGUGUCCCCGAUUCUACAAGAGGUGUCCAGUAAAGUGACGCGUGAGAAGCUCUUUCUGUCUAUAGCAGCAGGAGUCACGCUGGAAACACUGGAAAAAAAUCUUCCGUCACAAACACGAGUGAUCCGUGCCAUGCCUAACACCCCCGCCCUGGUACAGACGGGGGCCACGGUCAUCGCCCCGGGGUCGUCAGUGCUCCAGGGGGACAGGGAGCUCAUCCAGGGGCUGUUCCGGACCAUUGGUAUCUGUGAGGUGGGGACAGAAGAACAGUUGGACGCGGUCACGGGGCUGAGUGGGAGCGGCCCCGCCUAUGGUUUCCUGGCGAUUGAAUCUCUGGCUGAUGGGGGUGUUAAGAUGGGACUACCUCGUGACCUCGCCCAAAAGCUGGCCGCUCAGACAUUACUGGUGAGUGCUCACUUUGGGAAUCGUUUACAAAACUAGGAUGUCCUACAAGACGAAGUAGAAAUAUCCCCAAAAUAUUUACCGGUAUAAAAACAGAAAAGAUUAUGAAGGAAGAAAUGUAGUAGUAUUUUACCCAUAAUAUCUACAAAAUACCAGGAAACAGUGAUGUCUAAUGAGAGGGGGCUGCAAAAAUGGUGCUUGAAUCAGGGAAACACCCGGGACAACUCAAGGACGAAGUGUGUUCACCAGGGGGCACCACUAUAGCUGCCAUACACAAAUUGGAAGAGACCGGCUUCCGAUCGUCGUUAAUUACAGCAGUAGAGACCGCCACAAACCGAGCGAAGGAACUCGGAGUUAUAGAGAGCCAGAAACAGCAGACCGUGUUACUACGGGAACAGCCAAAUGUAGAAAGCAGCAGUAGUCAGCCCCUGAGGGUCACACAGUGAGGGGAGGGGAUCUCAAAGACCAUCCCCAACAUUCCUGCCCUCUCCAAGCUCUGUACUGGUAUAUAUCUGAUUGAGAGCUUGGUGCGUCUAUGCCAAAAUAUAAUUUGUGGGGUUAUUUUUGUUCAUUUUUGUUUUGAAUUAUUAUUUAUGUCACAAGAAUUUUCAGAAGAUUAUUUGAAUUAUCAAAAUUUUUAUCAUCAUUCAUACAUAUAUUAUUUUUCAUCAUCAAUAAAUUGCAUUCAUACUUUAAAAAGAAGAAUUGCUAACACCAGAUACUCUGUCACAUAAUCCAGUCAAUGAAUUGCAUAUGGAAAUAGAACAGUUAUAACGUUAUUUGAUUUUGGAAGUGUACAAAUCUGUGUUUAACGUAGUUACAGAAACUACACUCAGGGUACGUCUAUGAUUUUAAAUGUUAAGAAUGUUUAAGAAUUUGUUCCUUGUUUAAAUGUUGGUCUUGUGUUCAGAGGUCUGUUGCUGAUUUAUGGUUGUAACUUUUGAUUUGAACAUAUUUUAUUGUGUGUAUAUAUAUGAUACAUUUACAUAUACAAAUGGUUAGGACACAAGUUCUGACAACUUACGAGGUCUUUACCAUUGUAACUUUUGUCAGACUUUCAUGUACUGUGGAAUCAUUAGAAUUCAUGGUGGCUCAAUUUUCGUGGUAUUCGUGGAUAUCCAUCUCCCACAAAUUUAAAUCCUCCACGAAAACAUAUUUUUAAAGUUUUUUUUUUUACUGAAACUGAAAACCGACGCUUCCACGAAAUUACAUCCCCAUGAUCCAGCAAAAAACCCACAAUCCAUGAAAAUUGGCGCCCACUAAUUUAAAUGAUUCCACAGUAUGCUGAAUCUGUAGGUGGAUUCUAAGUCUGUUCUGUUUUUGUUUGCAUUUAUUAAAGUAAUUGGCAACAUGUGUACCAGGUCUAUUUUUUACAUAAGGUACAUGAUGUCAGACAAGUGUGUGCUACACUCUAAAAUUUAAACACAAUAGCUCUGAAUGUAAUAAUUAGUGCUAGCAUACAUUUGAUGAUUGUUAAGUGUGAAUCAGCAUAAUGUUAAUUAUUACAUGUAUUUGUAUUCAAGUCCCAAGGCAUUAAAUGAAUGUGUGAAUCUCUAAUAAAAGCACCGACAACCUCUGUUGUAUGUGAACAAAUAUUAUCAGGCAUGUAUUUGUAUUAAUUAAGUUUUAUAUAAUAUAUUAAAUGUACUGUACAGAAAAAGAAUUUAAUUUCAAUACAAGUUUUAAGUAGAUAUUUGUAAACAGAUGUGAAUACAUUGUAUUAUAAGUCAUUGAUUGAGACUUGUUGCAAUGCAGGUCAUCUCUGUAUGAACUUUAUCCUGUUCAGAGUUUGCCACCACAAACUACCAAGACAAAGUCAAAGGAACUUAUAUCUCAGUCUAAUAACCAAAAAAUUAAUAAAGUUUUUGA